UACGUAGGGUGCGAGCGUUGUCCGGAUUUAUUGGGCGUAAAGAGCUUGUAGGCGGCUCGUCGCGUCGGGUGUGAAAACUUGCGGCUCAACCGCAAGCCUGCACCCGAUACGGGCGGGCUAGAGUUCGGCAGGGGAGACUGGAAUUCCUGGUGUAGCGGUGGAAUGCGCAGAUAUCAGGAGGAACACCGGUGGCGAAGGCGGGUCUCUGGGCCGAUACUGACGCUGAGAAGCGAAAGCGUGGGGAGCAAACAGG
rnacentral:rRNA from 1 species